GAACUUCUGCAUGCUGCAGGCAUGGCCAAACAAAGCAAAAUACAAAAGUCCAACCAUAUGCUCUUUAUGAGAGAGACAUCUAAAACAUACGGAUACCAGUAGAUUGAAAUAAUGGAAUUAAGUUACGCCGUGGUAGGUAUUAUUACAUAAAACUUAAGGCAGAAUGCAUUACUAAGAGUAAAGGUCAUUGUAUAAUAAAAAUUCCCAAUCACCAGAAGUAUCUACUAAUUCUAGAUUCUACUUACGACUUCAAAACACAUGAAGCAAAAAUUGAUCAUCUACAAGGAGAAAUAUAUAAAUGUACAAUCACGGUGAGAGAUUUUAACACAUUAAAAUCCCGAGGGCAAUCCUUACCUCGUGCAGGAUGAGAACCAAGCAGUAGAAAAAUAAUCACCACGUCACCCUCAAGUGGUGAUUCUACAUGGCUCUUCAGACAGUCCCCAGAAAAGUAAAGCCCAUUUCCUCUCAGCAGAGAUCAGCUCAGUAGAACAUUGAAUUGGAUUGUCUUCCUUCCUUGUCUUGCUCUCCCCAGACCCCGUUCUUUUUCCCUUGGACUCAUCCCAGAGUAAAUUCUUGCAUGCAAAGUACUUCUCUCAACCCUGCUACUUUGUGGACCCAGGCUAAGACACUUGGUGAUACAAGCAGUUCUACAAACAAACCGUCCAAAUGGAUUCUAGUAUUGGACCAACUGGAUCCAGUAAGGAUCCCAGUCAUGUUGGUAAAUGGGGUGACCUUGACCCUUGGCACGCAGCAGCAUCACAGUUGCUGAGGUUUUCACCAGCAGUGAAUUGGAAUGGUGAAUUCGGAAGAUGAGGCAUUGCUUUAUGUAGUGGCAAUUCAUAAAAAAAUACGUGGUCAAUGUUAAUUAUAGGGAAUGUAGAGCUGGCUGACUCUGGUUGCUGGUCUUUAGAAGUCUUGUGAGAGGAGAGGAAAAUGGCAGCUUGAUUGGCCAACUGUCAACCUCAAGGAAUGCUGUGCAACUGGGAAAGUUUCCAGGACAACAGAGAAAUGUCCCUCUCCCCCCAACAGCCCUAGGAAGAUAGUUGCCAUUCAUCCUAGGCUUUAAUUGUGAGUACAGCUUGGUUACCAAGGAGAACACAGCCUUAAGGAGACUCUGAGGUCAGUGUCAGGGCCCAGCUAAGGAAACAGCAGACCUUGAGACAUGGGGUAAGGGUAUUUGGAUGGACAAAUCUGAGACCCUUGAACCCCACAUUCCUCUGAUCCCAGGAACUGUCCCUCCUCCUUCCUGGAGAGGAAUGGUCUUCCCUGGCUGCAGACACUGCGAAGACACCACUAGAGGCAGGAGCUUCACAAGGUGGGGUUCGUCCUAAGAUCUGCCUCUACCUCCUUUGUUUCCUCCAGACCAGCCGUCAAGUCAGGCGCAGCCCAAGCAAGAUGAUCCAGCUCCUCCUUUCGGGAGACACUGUGUGUACUCAAAGGGUCGAAAGUGUUGGUUAACAGGCACUAAAGGUGAACCGGAGACCUCAUGUUGGACUGGGUCUUAAGGAGCAGCCAAGGAAAGAUGCCUCCUUGUGUUUCAGUUUCUUCAACUGUCAAAUCUGAGUGCCUGAGUGCCUGAGUGCCUGUCCAACCUACUUUAUAUACUUAUUAGAGUAAAUGAAGAAAUUAAUAUUAUAGUGAACUCUGCUAGGGACUAUACUAGGCACUUCACGUAAAUUAUUUAAUUAGGAUAAAAUUGGGCAAGUGUAAACACUUAAUCUAGUUCUAAACUUGUUUAGAAUACAAACACAACAUUGUAAUCAACUACACACCAAUACAUUUUUUAAAAGAAGACUUAAAUGUGUUAUUUUUAAUAGCAUGCCCUAGGAAAAAUGCAGAUUUGUGAAACCUUGUUGCCUAAAAGGAAAGAAGAAAAGGAAGCCGGUGUUUCAAAAACUCAGACAUAUUAGAAUAUGGCAUUGAGUAAGCUGUUGUCUUGUUUGGGGGAAGGUGGACCAUCUGAAGAGGGCUUUAGGGACAGUUCUAGUCAUUGACCUUGGGAGAAGCAGGGUAGGAACAGUGCUGCUGCGGAAGCUGAGAGAGCAGUUCUGUGUCCAGUGGAGCACAGUGAACUCCUGGGUGGCACCUGUGGUGUCUUGGGUAACGCAUGGCCUCCCACCCAGACUGCCUCGGUUGGAAUCCCAGCUCUGGCGCUCAGCCCACUGGGGGAUAUUGGACAGGUAGUUACAAAACUCCAUUUUAUGGAGUUCCCUGGUGGCACAGCAGGUGAAGAAUUUGACCUUGGUAGUGCUGCAGCUCAGGUCACUGGUGUGGCAUGGGUUCCACCUCUGGCCUGGGAACUUCCGUAUGCCGGGGACACGG
rnacentral:lncRNA from 1 species